CUGGGAUAAGCUUGGGAAACUGGGUCUAAUACCGGAUAGGAACCGUCUUUAGUGUGGUGGUUGGAAAGUUUUUUCGGUGCAAGAUGAGCUCGCGGCCUAUCAGCUUGUUGGUGGGGUAAUGGCCUACCAAGGCGUCGACGGGUAGCCGGCCUGAGAGGGUGUACGGCCACAUUGGGACUGAGAUACGGCCCAG
rnacentral:rRNA from 1 species